GACGAACGCUGGCGGCGUGCCUAAUACAUGCAAGUAGAACGCUAAAGAGAGGAGCUUGCUCUUCUUGGAUGAGUUGCGAACGGGUGAGUAACGCGUAGGUAACCUGCCUGGUAGCGGGGGAUAACUAUUGGAAACGAUAGCUAAUACCGCAUAAAAUGGAUUGCCGCAUGAUAAUCCAUUGAAAGGUGCAAAUGCAUCACUACCAGAUGGACCUGCGUUGUAUUAGCUAGUUGGUGGGGUAACGGCUCACCAAGGCGACGAUACAUAGCCGACCUGAGAGGGUGAUCGGCCACACUGGGACUGAGACACGGCCCAGACUCCUACGGGAGGCAGCAGUAGGGAAUCUUCGGCAAUGGACGGAAGUCUGACCGAGCAACGCCGCGUGAGUGAAGAAGGUUUUCGGAUCGUAAAGCUCUGUUGUAAGAGAAGAACGAGUG
rnacentral:rRNA from 1 species